AAGCCUCAUGUACUUCUUGGUUUGUCAGGAGUUGGAGGCAUAUUUCAUGAGGAGGUGCUGAGGGCCAUGAAAGAGUCAGAUUCUGUUAGACCUGCAAUUUUUGCCAUGUCAAAUCCUACAAACAAUGCUGAAUGCUGUCCUGUUGAUGCUUUCAAGCUUGCUGGAGAAGAUAUUGUUUUUGCUAGUGGGAGUCCCUUUGCAAAUGUUGAUCUAGGGAAUGGUAAGAUAGGCCAUGUAAAUCAAGCGAAUAACAUGUAUCUCUUCCCUGGCAUAGGGCUGGGAGCUCUUCUUUCUGGCGCUCGAAACAUAAGUGAUACAAUGUUAGAAGCUGCUGCUGAGUGCCUCGCUUCUUACAUGUCCGAUGACGAAAUCAAUAGAGGAAUCUUGUAUCCAUCCAUUGACGAUAUUCGGGAUAUUACAGCAGAGGUGGGAGCUGCUGUUUUACGGGCUGCUGUGGCUGAAGACCUGGCAGAAGGUCACGGUGACGUUGGAGUGAGAGAGUUGCAGCAUAUGUCAAAGGAAGAGACCAUUGAACACGUGAGAGAAAAUAUGUGGUAUCCUGUCUAUGGCCCUCUUGUUCACGAAUAGUGAAGCACUUCCUGGGUUGAGAUCACAGGUCCACGAGAAGUGGAGUAUGGUCUGGUGCUCCAAAUUGCCUGUAAAGGUCAAAAAGUUUCACAAACUUGACUGUAUUAGGUGUACAAUUACAAGGACAAAUGUUGCUGAACCACGAAAGAGUCUAGGGCUCUUCAAAUAUUUCAUUUUUUUGUUGUAAGCCAUUCUUGUUUAUCUCAUGAAGCAUAUGUAACCUUUAAAUUGAGGAGUAGGAGAUGUAUUUGUUAUCCCUGAAUAAAAGCUGAUACUUUCUCUCAGCAGCACCGCCUAUUGAAC
rnacentral:misc_RNA from 1 species